UACGGGGGGGGCAAGCGUUGUUCGGAAUUACUGGGCGUAAAGGGCGCGUAGGCGGCUACGCACGUCCGUUGUGAAAUCGCUCGGCUCAACUGGGCGGGGUCAGCGGAUACGGUGUAGCUGGAGCAAGCUAGGGGGCAAUGGAAUUCCCGGUGUAGUGGUGGAAUGCGUAGAUAUCGGGAGGAACACCAGUGGCGAAGGCGGUUGCCUGGAGCUUUGCUGACGCUGAUGCGCGAAAGCGUGGGGAGCGAUCCGG
rnacentral:rRNA from 1 species